GAAAUGCGAUAAGUAAUGUGAAUUGCAGAAUUCAGUGAAUCAUCGAAUCUUUGAACGCUCAUUGCGCCCGCCAGUAUUCUGGCGGGCAUGCCUGUCCGAGCGUCAUUUCAACCAUCAAGCCCCCGGGCUUGUGUUGGGGACCUGCGGCUGCCCACAGGCCCUGAAAACCAGUGGCGGGCUCGCUGUCACACCGAGCGUAGUAGCAAUCACCUCGCUCAGGGCGUGCUGCGGGUUCCGGCCGUUAAACAGCCUUACAAAACCCAAGGUUGACCUCGGAUCAGGUAGGAAGACCCGCUGAACUUAAGC
rnacentral:misc_RNA from 1 species